rnacentral:rRNA from 1 species
UACGUAGGUGGCAAGCGUUGUCCGGAUUUACUGGGCGUAAAGGGCGUGCAGGCGGUUUGUUAAGUGCAGGGUGAAAGCUCCCGGCUCAACUGGGAGAGGUCCUUGCAUACUGGCAAACUCGAGGGAGGCAGAGGAAAGUGGAAUUCCCGGUGUAGUGGUGAUAUGCGUAGAUAUCGGGAGGAACACCAGUGGCGAAGGCGACUACCUGGCCCAUUCUUGACGCUGAGGCGCGAAAGCUAGGGGAGCGAACGGG